GACAGAGGAUGCAAGCGUUAUCCGGAAUGAUUGGGCGUAAAGCGUCUGUAGGUGGCUUUUUAAGUCCGCCGUCAAAUCCCAGGGCUCAACCCUGGACAGGCGGUGGAAACUACCAAGCUGGAGUACGGUAGGGGCAGAGGGAAUUUCCGGUGGAGCGGUGAAAUGCGUAGAGAUCCGGAGGAACACCAAAGGCGAAGGCAGUGUCCUGGGGAGUACCUGACGCUCAGGUGCGAAAGCCAGGGGAGCGAACGGG
rnacentral:rRNA from 1 species